CCUUAUACGAAGAUACUUACGAUGAGUGUCCACACAGAUUGAUGGUUUAGAUUUAGUUAAAGCCAGAGCUUUAAUUAAUAACGUAAGUUAUUGAUUAAAGCUUUUUGCUUUAUGCUCUCUAACAAUUUGGAAAGCUGACUGAUUGAUUACUUACGAGUAAUUCAAUCAAAUUUAAAAGUUCUCAAUGUUUAUCUUUCACUAGAUAAACACAACAAACACAUUCAAGUGUCUUGUAUUCGAAUCAAUGUUCACAUUGAUUCACAAUUGAGUCCGGCAAACAGUCAUCAAGAAUUAACCCUUCUUGAUGACAACCAAAAACCUUGGUUAGUUGCCAUACACUUAUUUGUCUUCACUUUUUAAAGUGAAAGCAAAUAGAAACCCUUUCGGGUUGUAUGG
rnacentral:misc_RNA from 1 species